rnacentral:ncRNA from 1 species
UUUAGAUAGAGGCGCGUUUUUUAUCAGUAGCCUAAGCACUUUUGCCGCACGACAAAGCGGAGCGGCUUAUGUGAAAGGAAAAAACGCCGAAGCGUCGGCCUGUCACCGAAAGCUGGGCGCAGGGUUAAAAGCUCUGCGACUGUCACCGGAAUUUCCGGUGUUGAGCUAUC